GUGUCAGCCGCCGCGGUAAUACGGAGGGUGCGAGCGUUGUUCGGAAUCACUGGGCGUAAAGCGCGUGUAGGCGGUCUCCUAAGUCUGGUGUGAAAGCCCGGGGCUUACCCCCGGAAGUGCACUGGAAACUGGGAGACUGGAGUACCGGAGAGGAAGGUGGAAUUCCUGGUGUAGCGGUGAAAUGCGUAGAUAUCAGGAGGAACACCGGUGGCGAAGGCGGCCUUCUGGACGGAUACUGACGCUGAGACGCGAAAGCGUGGGGAGCAAACAGGAUUAGAUACCCCUGUAGUCC
rnacentral:rRNA from 1 species